AUUGAACGCUGGCGGCAUGCUUUACACAUGCAAGUCGAACGGUAACAGGCCUUCGGGUGCUGACGAGUGGCGAACGGGGGAGUAAUGCAUCGGAACGUACCCAGAGGUGGGGGAUAACGCAGCGAAAGUUGUGCUAAUACCGCAUGUGAUCUGAGGAUGAAAGCGGGGGACCGAGCAGCAAUGUUUGGCCUCGCGCCUUUGGAGCGGCCGAUGUCGGAUUAGCUAGUUGGUGGGGUAAAGGCCUACCAAGGCGACGAUCCGUAGCUGGUCUGAGAGGACGACCAGCCACACUGGGACUGAGACACGGCCCAGACUCCUACGGGAGGCAGCAGUGGGGAAUUUUGGACAAUGGGCGCAAGCCUGAUCCAGCCAUGCCGCGUGCGGGAAGAAGGCCUUCGGGUUGUAAACCGCUUUUGGCAGGAACGAAACGGUGUCCGCUAAUACCGGGCGCUAAUGACGGUACCUGCAGAAUAAGCACCGGCUAACUACGUG
rnacentral:rRNA from 1 species